rnacentral:rRNA from 1 species
CACGUAGGGCGCAAGCGUUGUCCGGAAUUAUUGGACGUAAAGAGCUCGUAGGCGGUCUGUUACGUCUGCUGUGAAAACCCGGGGCUUAACCCUGGGCUUGCAGUGGAUACGGGCAGACUAGAGGCAGGUAGGGGAGAAUGGAAUUCCCGGUGUAGCGGUGAAAUGCGCAGAUAUCGGGAGGAACACCGGUGGCGAAGGCGGUUCUCUGGGCCUGACCUGACGCUGAGGAGCGAAAGCGUGGGGAGCGAACGGG